rnacentral:rRNA from 1 species
CUACGGGUCGCUCCAGUGGGGAAUUUUGCGCAAUGGGGGAAACCCUGACGCAGCAAUACCGCGUGAGUGAAGAAGGCCUUUGGGUCGUAAAGCUCUUUUCUUGGGGAAGUUAGUGACGGUACCCAAGGAAUAAGCACCGGCUAACUCCGUGCCAGCAGCCGCGGUAAUACGGAGGGUGCAAGCGUUGUUCGGAUUUACUGGGCGUAAAGGGCACGUAGGCGGCACAGCAAGUUAAGGGUGAAAGCCCGGGGCUCAACUCCGGAACUGCUCUUAAAACUGCUGAGCUAGAGAUAGUCAGAGGCGGGUGGAAUUCCAGGUGUAGAGGUGAAAUUCGUAGAUAUCUGGAGGAACACCGGUGGCGAAGGCGGCCCGCUGGGGCUAUUCUGACGCUAAGGUGCGAAAGCGUGGGGAGCAAACGGGAUUAGAUACCCGUGUAGUC